ACACUGUUGAGUAUAGCAUCAAAAUGACUGUAUCUAAUUGUAUUUAUAUAGCACUUUUAUAAUCUUAACUACUCUAAGUGCUUCCAACUAGAUUCCCCCACAGGGCUAGUAACCUAUCAGGACCACUUAUGGCUAGUUUCAAAUCACCAGUUAACCUGACAAUCAUGCAGGCAAGCAAACACCACACUGACAGUUCCUGCUAACUUGUGGAUUUAUGCUGCAAUACUGCAGUAGUAAUUUGCUGUAUAUCUGAAACCCCAAUGGCAUUUAGUGCUGGUCAAUAGUAUUAUUCAGGUGAUGUAGUGAAAUUAUUCUCAUUUCAGUCUCAAGACUGCAGGAGUCUUUACGCAGGGUUGAUGCAGAGGGAGUGCAUAUGAGACGCUUAAGGCUGCAAAUAUUGCGACGACGGCAGUAUUCUGUUCCUGGCCCAAAUCAUCUUUGGCAUAUUGAUGGUAACCAUAAGCUCAUAAGGUGGAGAUUUGUGGUGCAUGGCGGGGUGGAUGGAUUCAGUAGAUUAGUGGUUUACCUUACUGUAGCUGGUAAUAAUAGGGCAAGCACAGUCUUGCAAAGCUUUAUGGAAGCUGUUGAGCAAUAUGGGCUGCCAUCAAGGGUUCGGUCUGAUAAAGGUGGGGAGAAUGCAGAUGUUGCAGAAUUCAUGAUCAGGAACAGAGGUACGGACAGGAAUAAUCACACCACAGGCAGAAGCGUCCACAAUCAACGAAUAGAGAGGAUGUGGAGAGAUGUCUAUGAGCAUGUUCUAGACCUCUUCUACCAGAUAUUUGUUUCACUGGAAGAUCGGGGAACACUAAAUCCAGACAAUGAAGUCCAUCUUUACACCCUGCACCGGAUCUUCCUUCAUCAAAUACAGAAACAUCUCGAGACUUUCAGAGCUGCAUGGAACUGUCAUGGUCUUAGAACUGAAAGGAAUCAAUCACCCCAGCAACUAUGGACAAGAUAUAGAGAGCCAGCCACUGUGUUGGAGCUUGUAGAGGUGACCGAAAACUAUGGAAUUGACUGGAAUGGGCCUCACAGUCACCAUGAAGACGCCGUGUCAGUCCCAGAGAUUCAGCUUGCCCGUGAGCUCACAGAUGAAGAGGUUGCUACUUUGCCAGUUCCAGGAGUAUCCUUAACAGAUGCAAUUGGAUCAUACUUUGAAACAGUGCAAGUUUUGUCCAGAAUUAUAGGACACUGACAUCCCAGCCAUGCUGAAACAGCUUUUUAAAUUGACUUCUAUCCCACCACUCUUCUCUCUUACCUCCUCCUAAUGAGUUGUGACUCUCCCCUAGUUAGGGCCUGGACAUUAAAUUGAGAAAAUGUAAGCUUUACCAUAAAUGUACAUGUCUAAUCCCCACCAUUAUCUAUUUGGUAAAGGUUUAUAUUAGUAAUAUUUCAAGCAUGGCUAAAAAUUGUUUCAGGAUUAAUUUUUCAGUUUUUGUUUCAACGAUUUUUAAAAUGUAACUUGUUUUAUUAAACCUCAUGCACAGGAGAUUGUUUUCCACUGUAAA